UUAAGGACCAUUUCUUCUCUAAAGUGAGAAGCUUCAACCACCCUGUUUGAGGCAACUCACUUGAUAAUCCAAUUCCUCAACAGUCAUUUGAUUACAAUCUUCUUCUUUGGUUGGGAUCGAUCGAUUUAGUACCCCAAAAUUUCAAGUCCUGAACCAAAAGAGGAAAACAAGAACCUGUACUUCAACAUGCUUUUCAAGGCCAGGAGGAGUCUACAAAGCAAGCAUAGUUUCCCAUCGUCGAAGCUUAGCCAUCUCCAGUAUCCAUGGCAGACAACAUAGUAGCUUCUUGUUUCGCCGGAGCCGUGACUCAAGCAGAUGCAGAUAUAACUAAUUAUGCUACAGCCAAAGUCGGUUUAUCAAAGUAUGAAGAAAAGCUUUUAAUUAUUAUACAAAAAUAAAAGUUAAAAUAUAAGUAAACU